rnacentral:lncRNA from 1 species
GGUUCUAUAUGGAAAAGGGCUGCAUCCUCAGGAGGUGAAAUGAAAGCAGAGAUCAAAAACUCAGAGAUAGCAGGAGACUCCUAGAAGCAGAGGUUUUGAGAAACUUAAACCUCCAUGCCACCCACCUUCCUCUUGACAAGAAACAGGACUUCCGUCCCCAGGUUUCCAAGAAUGAUUAAGAACAAGCUGCAUAAAAAUUAUGACACGUAAUUUUCUGGACUAUGGACUAAAAUGAACUGCUCCACCGAGACGGUGCUCUGUCUUUGGGAAGAUGCUGCAAUAAAUAAAAGUGUGGAAAUCAAGUGGCUGGCACCCUGCCAAGACGCCCUGUACAGUGAGUGCACAUGUGCUGGACACGACACAAUGACCUAAAAGAAACACAGAGAUACUGCUGGAAUAGUUCAGUGAAUAUAGUUCAGUGAAUACCACUGCUUCAGCGAGGAGUAAGUCAUGUAAUAAGGCAGGAUGGAAACAGAAUUAACCUUUAAAACUUGGAAAUGGAGUACCGGAGAAUUAAAUUAACAGAAGUGCAUAGACAAGUUCUGGGAAAACCCACGGUGGAUGCCUUUGGUCAGGUCGAGAGCCAUGUGAGGACACAGCAAGAAGGCAGCCAUCUGCAGGCCAGGAAGAGAGCCCUCACCAGAAGCCAACCCUAAACCACUUUGAUCUUGGACCUCUAGAACUGGGGAGAAAAUACAUUUCUGGUGUUUAAGCCACACAGUCUGCGGGGUUUUGUUAUGGCGGCCCUAGCAGGCUAUUACAGAGACCUUCCCGUCUGGAUGGCACCAACACCGAUUUAUGAUAACCAUGGCCAAAUGAGGAGCAGCACCCUGCCGGUUCCUGACUAAAUGUCAUUGGAGAAAUGGAUUGACUGGAAGAAGCAGAGUGUGGUGAUUCAUGGAUAUG